CCAGGGGUGGCAGAGCGGCUGAUGCGCGGGUCUGUAAAACCCGUUUAGGUUGGUUCAACUCCAACCCCCUGGA
rnacentral:tRNA from 1 species